CAAUAGCGUAUAUUAAAGUUGUUGCAGUUAAAAAGCUCGUAGUUGAAUUUUUGCUUGCCGCCGAUGUCGGAACUUCCGUACGUUCGGCGGCGUGCAUCCUUGGGUGGAACCUGUGUGACAUUAGGUUGUCGUGCAGGGGAUGCUCAUCGUUUACUGUGAAAAAAUUAGAGUGUUCAAAGCAGGCUUACGCCGUUGAAUAUAUUAGCAUGGAAUAAUAAGAUAGGACCUUGGUACUAUUUUGUUGGUUUGCGCACCGAGGUAAUGAUUAACAGGGACAGUUGGGGGUAUUCGUAUUCCAUUGUCAGAGGUGAAAUUCUUGGAUUUCUGGAAGACGAACUACUGCGAAAGCAUUUACCAAGGAUGUUUUCAUUAA
rnacentral:rRNA from 1 species